rnacentral:rRNA from 1 species
UGGGGAAUUUUGGACAAUGGGGGCAACCCUGAUCCAGCAAUGCCGCGUGUGUGAAGAAGGCCUUCGGGUUGUAAAGCACUUUUGUCCGGAAAGAAAACGCCGUGGUUAAUACCCGUGGCGGAUGACGGUACCGGAAGAAUAAGCACCGGCUAACUACGUGCCAGCAGCCGCGGUAAUACGUAGGGUGCAAGCGUUAAUCGGAAUUACUGGGCGUAAAGCGUGCGCAGGCGGUCCGCUAAGACAGAUGUGAAAUCCCCGGGCUUAACCUGGGAACUGCAUUUGUGACUGGCGGGCUAGAGUAUGGCAGAGGGGGGUAGAAUUCCACGUGUAGCAGUGAAAUGCGUAGAGAUGUGGAGGAAUACCGAUGGCGAAGGCAGCCCCCUGGGCCAAUACUGACGCUCAUGCACGAAAGCGUGGGGAGCAAACAGGAUUAGAUACCCUGGUAGUCCACGCCCUAAACGAUGUCAACUAGUUGUCGGGUCUUCAUUGACUUGGUAACGUAGCUAACGCGUGAAGUUGACCGCCUGGGGAGUACGGUCGCAAGAUUAAAAACUCAAAGGAAUUGACGGGGGUCAUAGCUGUUUCCUG